CCUACGGGAGGCAGCAGUGGGGAAUAUUGGACAAUGGGCGAAAGCCUGAUCCAGCAAUUCCGCGUGUGUGAAGAAGGCCUUCGGGUUGUAAAGCACUUUAGUGGGGGAAGAAACAGCUUGGCCACACCAAGCCUUGACGGUACCCCAAGAAUAAGCACCGGCUAACUCUGUGCCAGCAGCCGCGGUAAUACAGAGGGUGCAAGCGUUAAUCGGAUUUACUGGGCGUAAAGGGUGCGUAGGUGGCUAUUUAAGUCGGAUGUGAAAGCCCGGGGCUCAACCUCGGAAUUGCAUUCGAUACUGAGUGGCUAGAGUUCGGUAGAGGGCGGCGGAAUUUCCGGUGUAGCGGUGAAAUGCGUAGAUAUCGGAAGGAACAUCAAUGGCGAAGGCAGCCGCCUGGGCCUGGACUGACACUGAGGCACGAAAGCGUGGGUAGCAAACAGGAUUAGAUACCCUGGUAGUCCACGCCGUAAACGAUGAGAACUUGACGUUGGUUCGUUUUACGAAUCGGUGUCGCAGCUAACGCGAUAAGUUCUCCGCCUGGGGAGUACGGCCGCAAGGUUGAAACUCAAAUGAAUUGACGGCUGAGAGNGCGACGNGACACGAGGAGAG
rnacentral:rRNA from 1 species